rnacentral:rRNA from 1 species
CGCGAAUUCGCCCUUCGGGGUGCACCAGGCGCGAAACCUUUACAAUGCGCGGAAGCGUGAUAAGGUUACCCGGAGUGCUAGAGGCUGAAAUCCUCUAGCUGUUGUAGGGUGUAGAUAUCCCUACGAGAAAGGAGAGGGCAAGGCUGGUGCCAGCCGCCGCGGUAAAACCAGCUCUUCAAGUGGUCGGGCCAAUUAUUGGGCUUAAAGUGUCCGUAGCCGGUUUAGUAAGUUCCUGGUUAAAUUUGGCAGCUUAACUGUCACAUUGCUAGGAAUACUGCUUUACUAGGGGGCGGGAAAGGUCUGAGGUACUCCAGGGGUAGCGGUGAAAUGCGAUAAUCCUUGGGGGACCACCAGUGGCGAAAGCGUCAGACUGGAACGCGCCCGACGGUGAGGGACGAAAGCCAGGGGAGCGAACGGGAUUAGAUACCCCGGUAGUCCUGGCUGUAAACGAUGCGCGCUAGGUGUUGGUAGGGCUAUGAGCUGUAUCAGUGCCGUAGGGAAACUGUUAAGCGCGCCGCCUGGGAAGUACGCUCGCAAGAGUGAAACUUAAAGGAAUUGGCGGGGGAGCAC